rnacentral:rRNA from 1 species
UACGAAGGGGGCUAGCGUUGUUCGGAAUUACUGGGCGUAAAGCGCAUGUAGGCGGCGAUUCAAGUCGGGGGUGAAAUCCUGAGGCUCAACCUCAGAACUGCCUUCGAUACUGCAUUGCUAGAGUAUGGAAGAGGUAGGUGGAACUGCAAGUGUAGAGGUGAAAUUCGUAGAUAUUGGAAGGAACACCAGUGGCGAAGGCGACUAUCUGGACAGAUACUGACACUGAGACACGAAAGCGUGGGGAGCAAACGGG